rnacentral:rRNA from 1 species
CUACGGGACGCUCCAGUGAGGAAUAUUGCACAAUGGGGGGAACCCUGAUGCAGCAACGCCGCGUGGAGGAUGACGCAUUUCGGUGUGUAAACUCCUUUUAUAUGUCAAGAAAAUGACGGUAGCAUAUGAAUAAGCACCGGCUAACUCCGUGCCAGCAGCCGCGGUAAUACGGAGGGUGCAAGCGUUACUCGGAAUGCACUGGCGUAAAGGACGCGUAGGCGGGUUGGAAAGUCAGGUGUGAAAUCCUACAGCUUAACUGUAGAACUGCACUUGAAACUUCUAAUCUAGAGUAUGGGAGGGGGAGAUGGAAUUAGUGGUGUAGGGGUAAAAUCCGUAGAUAUCACUAGGAAUACCUAAAGCGAAGGCGAUCUCCUGGAACAUUACUGACGCUAAGGCGUGAAAGCGUGGGGAGCAAACAGGAUUAGAUACCCCCGUAGUC